UGUUUGUUUCCGGCGGCAUCGGGCGCGCCACGUUAAGGCGCGGCGUGUCUGUGCGGUCGGAAUGAAAUUUUGGGCUGGAUGUCGUGUGGCCUUCACUGGCUGCGCGUCAGGCGGCCCAUCAUUUACUGUGAGAAAAUUAGAGUGUUCAAGGCAGGCGUUUGUAAUUGAAUAUGUUAGCAUGGAAUAAUGAGAUAUGGCUCCCGUGUCUUGUUGGUUUUGUGAUGUGGAAGUAAUGAUUGAUAGGGACGGUUGGGGGUGCUAGUAUUCAGCGGCCAGAGGUGAAAUUCAUGGAUUCGCUGAAGACUGACUUCUGCGAAAGCAUU
rnacentral:rRNA from 1 species